rnacentral:rRNA from 1 species
CCCUUAGAUGUCCUGGGCCGCACGCGCGCUACACUGAUGCAUUCAACGAGUUUUACCUUGGCCGAGAGGCCUGGGCAAUCUUUUAACCUGCAUCGUGAUAGGGAUAGAUUAUUGCAAUUAUUAAUCUUGAACGAGGAAUUCCUAGUAAACGCAAAUCAUCAAUUUGCAUUGAUUACGUCCCUGCCCUUUGUACACACCGCCCGUCGCACCUACCGAUUGAAUGGUCCGGUGAAGCCUCGGGAUUGUGGCCAGUUCACUUUAUUGGGAGUUGGCUGUGAGAACUUGUCUAAACCUUAUCAUUUAGAGGAAGGUGAAGUCGUAACA